AACGAACGCUGGCGGCAGGCCUCAUACAUGCAAGUCGAGCGAUUAAGACUCCUUCGGGAGUGUAUAAAGCGGCGAACGGGUGAGUAACAGGUGGAUGAUCUACCUUCCGGUGGGGGAUAACGGCUGGAAACGGCCGCUAAUACCGCAUUCGGUUAAUACGCUGCGGCGUAUUAAAGAAAGGCGCUUCAAAGCGCCGCCGGGAGAUGAGUCCGCCCCCCAUUAGCUAGUUGGUGAGAUAACAGCUCACCAAGGCAACGAUGGGUAGCCGAACUGAGAGGUUGAUCGGCCACACUGGAACUGAGACACGGUCCAGACACCUACGGGUGGCAGCAGUAGGGAAUAUUGGGCAAUGGGCGAAAAGCCUGACCCAGCCAUGCCGCGUGAGUGAUGAAGGUCCUAGAGAUUGUAAAAACUCUUUCUUGAGGAAAGAAUAAAAUAAGGGAAGGAAAUGUCCUUAUUUUGACGGUACCUCAGGAAUAAGGAACGGCUAACUCCGUGCCAGCAGCCGCGGUAAAAGU
rnacentral:rRNA from 1 species